rnacentral:pre_miRNA from 1 species
UCUUAUGGAUGAGCAGAGAAAAUGGUUUCUUGGGAAGGAAUCUACUCCUGGUGAAGAUGCUAUGAA